UACGGGGGGAGCAAGCGUUGUUCGGAUUUACUGGGCGUAAAGGGCGCGUAGGCGGCCAGCACAAUUCAGUUGUGAAAUCUCCGGGCUUAACUCGGAAAGGUCAACUGAUACUGUGCGGCUAGAGUGCAGAAGGGGCAGCUGGAAUUCUCGGUGUAGCGGUGAAAUGCGUAGAUAUCGAGAGGAACACCUGCGGCGAAGGCGGGUUGCUGGGCUGACACUGACGCUGAUGCGCGAAAGCCAGGGGAGCGAACGGG
rnacentral:rRNA from 1 species